rnacentral:rRNA from 1 species
AUUGAACGCUGGCGGCAGGCCUAACACAUGCAAGUCGAGCGAGCGGCGGACGGGUGAGUAAUGUCUGGGAAACUGCCUGAUGGAGGGGGAUAACUACUGGAAACGGUAGCUAAUACCGCAUACCAUCAGAUGUGCCCAGAUGGGAUUAGGUAGUAGGUGGGGUAACGGGGCAACUAGGCGACGAUCCCUACCUGGUCUGAGAGGAUGACCAGCCACACGGGAACUGGGACACGGUCCAGACUCCAACGGGAGGCAGCAGUGGGGAAUAUUGCACAAUGGGCGCAAUCCUGAUGCAGCCAUGCCGCUGGUGUGAAGAAGGCCUUCGGGUUGAAAAGCACUUUCAGCGGGGAGGCGUUACCCGCAGAAGAAGCACCGGCUAACUCCGUGCCAGCCGCCGCGGUAAUUC